CCUGCGGAGGGAUCAUUGCUGGAACGCGCUUCGGCGCACCCAGAAACCCUUUGUGAACUUAUACCUAUUGUUGCCUCGGCGUAGGCCGGCCUCUUCACUGAGGCCCCCUGGAAACAGGGAGCAGCCCGCCGGCGGCCAACCAAACUCUUGUUUCUACAGUGAAUCUCUGAGUAAAAAACAUAAAUGAAUCAAAACUUUCAACAACGGAUCUCUUGGUUCUGGCAUCGAUGAAGAACGCAGCGAAAUGCGAUAAGUAAUGUGAAUUGCAGAAUUCAGUGAAUCAUCGAAUCUUUGAACGCACAUUGCGCCCUCUGGUAUUCCGGAGGGCAUGCCUGUUCGAGCGUCAUUUCAACCCUCAAGCCUGGCUUGGUGAUGGGGCACUGCCUGUAAAAGGGCAGGCCCUGAAAUCUAGUGGCGAGCUCGCCAGGACCCCGAGCGUAGUAGUUAUAUCUCGCUCUGGAAGGCCCUGGCGGUGCCCUGCCGUUAAACCCCCAACUUCUGAAAAUUUGACCUCGGAUCAGGUAGGAAUACCCGCUGAACUUAAGCAUAU
rnacentral:rRNA from 1 species